GCAAAAAUUAAAUUCGCAUUAUUGUAAUAAUUUUAUAACUCGUAAUCAAAAUUAAGAAAUCUAGGUAGGGGAAUUUGGGGCAAAGUGAACCGACUAUCUUUUUAAAUUUUAAAUUAUUCGCGCCAGUAAUACAGUUUUAAGCGUAAAUUUAAUAUAUUUAAGUUGGUAACAGUGUGUUUACGACGAGAACACGUUUGACGAAAGCUGCUAAGUUGUGGAUGAAAUUUUUAUUUUAUCGUGGUAAAAUUCUAAUCUGAGCUGAUAGGAAUAUGAACACAAUCGGAAUAUGAAGCUAGCAGGUUUAAUGUAAAUCAGUGGCAUCGGAUCCACGAGGACGUGGAUAAGGGAAGCGUGGCCGACUGUAAAGAAUAUUUUCUACGCCGGCCCUGACGGAUGACUAAAAGAAAUGGAUGUUCUGACAAACAGCAUAGAUGCCCGAAUAUGGAUAAUGAAGUAUUUAAUAAGUCAGUCGAUUAUAGUAUUUCGUGAUAGAAA